rnacentral:rRNA from 1 species
UCAGCUCGUGCCGUGAGGUGUUGGGUUAAGUCCCGCAACGAGCGCAACCCCCAUCGUCGGUUGCACAUGUCCGACGAGACUGCCACGAUCAACGUGGAGGAAGGCGGGGAUGACGUCAAGUCAGCACGGCCCUGACAUCCUGGGCGACACACACGCUACAAUGGUCGGGACAACGAGUCGCCAACCCGCGAGGGGGAGCCAAUCUCCUAAACCCGAUCUCAGUUCAGAUUGCAGGCUGCAACCCGCCUGCAUGAAGGAGGAGUUGCUAGUAACCGUGGGUCAGCACACCACGGUGAAUACGUUCCCGGGUCUUGUA